UUCUUUCUUUCUUUCUUUCUUUCUUUCUUUCUUUCUUUCUUUCUUUCUUUUCUCCCCCCCGGCGUAUAACAGACUCCUGAUGUGAGGGUCAGGACUUGGGUUUGUAUCAGGGUUGCUCUCUUUGUCCACCAGAUGUCCCCAUUAAUCCCUCAGAUUAUUUUUCCCGAGGUUGUUUGGUUAAUUGCUGGCACCUGUGUUUAAUUGUCUGUGUGUAUAUAAAUCCCCCAACGUGACUCAGUUUCUUGGCUUGGUCAUUAUGUCCCUGUGUCUUCAGAAAGCCUAGACUAUCCAUCACUCCAGCCCUGGUUUGGACCCACCCUGGGCAUUGAAACUCUGAGAUUUAGGGGCGGAGAUGAUUUGACUCACCAUCGUUGCACUGAUGUCCUCCGAACGACGUCAUGCUGCAGUCACAGCUGAAGCCUUCCCACUGCUGCAGACACACACCCUGAUUAGCACACGAAUCCUCCUGACAUGUGGUGCUGGGGCCUGAACCACAAACACACAAACACACACAACCUUCUUCAAUCUGCUGAAUUACAACUGUGAAAGAAAAAAAUUUGACAAAAGAAAUG